GGGAAUGUGAUUUAGUGGUAGAGUGCUUGCCUAGCAUGCAUGAAGCCUUGGGUUCAAUUCCUUACUAUCACA
rfam:Dipodomys ordii contig_23190, whole genome shotgun sequence.